GUAUUACACUGAUGCAUGAGGGAGCUUAUUAAGACCUUACCGAGUGUAUUAUAAAUUGAACAAUUUCCAUUUCUUAUGGACAACAGGAGGACCACUUACGCUAAGUAAGUAGGUCGAGAGGGAAACAGCCCCAAACCCAAUAGUAAGGUGCCUAAAAGGUUACUUAGUGAAUCAAACAUCUUGUUUCUUUUACAAUAACGGCUAGAUUACGUCUAUGAACUCGGUUUGAAAGUAACCAUGUUAAUAAUAAACGUGUCAAAGCGUAACAAUAGAGUUAAGUAAAGAAUGGGAUACUAAAUGACAGGCACUAAGUAACAAACAGAAUAAUGUCAAACUAUCUUAAACGUUUGACAUUAUCCUCCUACCUAACAUGGGUGAUAUUAAAUAUCGGUAGCGGAACAAACUGUAGAUCGGCGAAGUGCAACCUAUUAAAGGAGCAUGGAGAAAUCAGUAGAGAAUAUGCAGGGAUGAGUAGCGUCAAAUAGUAUGUGAAUAACUAUCACCGUAAAUCUAAGGUAUUUCAGCUAACCACAAUCAAUGGUGCUGGAUUAGUCAGUUCCUAAUUGGUCCCCGAGGAGGGUGGUC
rnacentral:rRNA from 15 species